CUACACGUCAACACUGCCGCUGCAGGGUCAGACCACACUCGAUUCGCCCGAUCCCUAACCCCCUCCAUCAAAUCCGUGGGCAUAGAUCGACUCCUCUUGAUCCCCUUGUCCAAUUCCCUCACUCCCCUCGCAGAACCGAGCUCGAGGAGAUCUGCCGCCAUGCCCGACGCCGGGGCAUGCUAGAAGGAGAGCCUCGACCUCGACCGAAGCAAUAGCCCGCCCUUGACUUCAACCGCUCGUCGCCAUUGCUACAUGACGCACCGGAGCGCCCUAGUGACAACACCGAACUCCACAGGGACAACCUCAUUCCCCAGCAGCUUCACCGAUCCCUUAUGGCCACCAUGAGCACCACCCGUCGUUGCCCGCACUUCUCACCGCAUCGAGAUGCCCUAGAGAACCUCGAAGAGCGCCAGCUCAGAACCGUGCAGCUCCAAAGCAUCCCGGAGCACCACCGCAGUCCCGGCGGCAGCUGUUCCCAUCGUCACCUCAAACGUGCGCUGGACCCUCCCAGCACCCCUCUUCACUAGAAGAUCACCGGAGCACUGCCGCUGCAGUUUUCCUCUGUUUAAGAUUGCUCAGAGCGUGACGAGUAGAAUUAUCAGGAUUGUGAGUGCGACGAUCUUCACCAAAUAUACCAGGC